UCCAGUCCAUUAAAUUACCAAUUCAUUACUUGCCUCUUGCUGUGCCUUUAUCAACAAGGCUCUUUUUCACAACAUUGCAGGACCUCCAUUCCUCAGGGCAUACAAAACUUGGUACGAGUACGUGGUCGUCAAACGGUCUUCAUUCCAUAGACAUUACAUCAGUUCUAUGAAAAUAACGACCCAAUUCAAUACCAGAGUCUCGCAUCAUUUCAUUCUUUCACUCACCAACAUCAACGGGCAUGCUUCAGCUCAGUUUCCCUUUCCUACAACGGCUUCUGGCUGAAUGCUAUGCCCCACAAAAUUAACUGGUAUCCUACUGGUUAACUACUAUCCGAAUCGUUGGUCCAUUCUGGUAAGAAAUUCAAAUCUGGGAACGACUCACCGUUGUUGUGGACAUACCGUACAUGUUUUCAUAGUUUGCUCAUUGUUAUUUUUCCUGAACGCUGCUCGCUUCUCUAAUUUUAAUUGGAUGGAUCCAGUAUCCCAUCCCAAGUGCCAUAGCAGUUAGACAAGAGAACGGCAAAAGCAAAACGGCAUCAGUCUUCCGGUUCCAAAGUGGCAAGUCUCUAAUAUCGGUUGCGACUUGAAGCGACAUUUCCACAUUAGAGAAACCAACAUCAUACGCAGGAACCGUCACCUGACAAAUGGGGAGGAGGAGGACACUGCACUGUUCUAUGGCGAUGGAAGAGUGAUGAUAAAUGCAGACCUAACCAGUUGAACGCACACAGUUACAAAGCAGCAGGAGUGAAUAGUCAUCCGAGGCGUCAUGAACGGAAAGUCAGAAAUUCCAUUGUCAAUGAGGAAGCACAAGGGGAAAAUGAAGCAUUCACCAAGUAUAUAUUGUAUAUAAGAGAAUAUAUAUUAUGUGAUAUAAAAAAAAAUCAAUGACUAUUAUAAAAUAAAAUGUCUAGAAAAAUCUGA